AGAUUGAACGCUGGCGGCAGGCCUAACACAUGCAAGUCGAGCGGUAGAGAGGUGCUUGCAUCUCUUGAGAGCGGCGGACGGGUGAGUAAUGCCUAGGAAUCUGCCUAGUGGUGGGGGAUAACGUUCGGAAACGGACGCUAAUACCGCAUACGUCCUACGGGAGAAAGCGGGGGACCUUCGGGCCUCGCGCCAUUAGAUGAGCCUAGGUCGGAUUAGCUAGUUGGUGAGGUAAUGGCUCACCAAGGCGACGAUCCGUAACUGGUCUGAGAGGAUGAUCAGUCACACUGGAACUGAGACACGGUCCAGACUCCUACGGGAGGCAGCAGUGGGGAAUAUUGGACAAUGGGCGAAAGCCUGAUCCAGCCAUGCCGCGUGUGUGAAGAAGGUCUUCGGAUUGUAAAAGCAACUUUUAAGUUGGGAAGGAAGGUUGUAACUUAAUACGUUGCAACUUUGACGUUACCGACAGAAUAAGCAACCGGCUAACUUCGUGCCAGCAGCCG
rnacentral:rRNA from 1 species